rnacentral:rRNA from 1 species
UACGAAGGUGGCUAGCGUGGUUCGGAAUCACUGGGCGUAAAGCGCACGUAGGCGGAUUGUUAAGCCAGGGGUGAAAUCCCGAGGCUCAACCUCGGAACUGCCUUUGAUACUGGCGAUCUAGAGUCCGGGAGAGGUGAGUGGAACUGCGAGUGUAGAGGUGAAAUUCGUAGAUAUUCGCAAGAACACAAGUGGCGAAGGCGGCUCACUGGCGCGGAACUGACGCUGAGGUGCGAAAGCGUGGGGAGCAAACAGG